UACGGAGGAUCCGAGCGUUAUCCGGAUUUAUUGGGUUUAAAGGGUGCGUAGGCGGAAUAAUAAGUCAGUUGUGAAAGUUUGCGGCUCAACCGUAAAAUUGCAGUUGAUACUGUUAUUCUUGAGUGUACAUAAGGUAGGCGGAAUUCGUGGUGUAGCGGUGAAAUGCUUAGAUAUCACGAAGAACUCCAAUUGCGAAGGCAGCUUACCGGGGUACAACUGACGCUGAGGCACGAAAGUGUGGGUAUCAAACAGGAUUAGAUACCCUGGUAGUCCACACAGUAAACGAUGAAUACUCGCUGUUUGCGAUAUACCGCAAGCGGCCAAGCGAAAGCAUUAAGUAUUCCACCUGGGGAGUACGCCGGCAACGGUGAAACUCAAAGGAAUUGACGGGGGCCCGCACAAGCGGAGGAACAUGUGGUUUAAUUCGAUGAUACGCGAGGAACCUUACCCAGGCUUAAAUUGCAGAUGAAUAUAGUGGAAACAUUAUAGCCUUCGGGCAUCUGUGAAGGUGCUGCAUGGUUGUCGUCAGCUCGUGCCGUGAGGUGUCGGCUUAAGUGCCAUAACGAGCGCAACCCUUAUUGAUAGUUACUAACAGGUUAAGCUGAGGACUCUAUCGAGACUGCCGUCGUAAGAUGCGAGGAAGGUGGGGAUGACGUCAAGUCAGCACGGCCCUUACGUCUGGGGCUACACACGUGUUACAAUGGGGGGUACAGAAGGUCGCUACCUGGCAACAGGAUGCUAAUCCCAAAAGCCUCUCUCAGUUCGGAUUGGAGUCUGCAACCCGACUCCAUGAAGCUGGAUUCGCUAGUAAUCGCGCAUCAGCCACGGCGCGGUGAAUACGUUCCCGGGCCUUGUACACACCGCCCGUCAAGCCAUGGGAGCCGGGGGUACCUGAAGUGCGUAACCGUAAGGAGCGCCCUAGGGUAAAACUGGUGACUGGGGCU
rnacentral:rRNA from 1 species